AACGAACGCUGGCGGCAGGCCUAACACAUGCAAGUCGAACGGAUCCUUCGGGAUUAGUGGCGGACGGGUGAGUAACGCGUGGGAACAUACCCAAAGGUACGGAAUAGCCUCGGGAAACUGGGAGUAAUACCGUAUGUGCUCGAAAGAGGAAAGAUUUAUCGCCUUUGGAUUGGCCCGCGUUGGAUUAGGUAGUUGGUGGGGUAAUGGCCUACCAAGCCGACGAUCCAUAGCUGGUUUGAGAGGAUGAUCAGCCACACUGGGACUGAGACACGGCCCAGACUCCUACGGGAGGCAGCAGUGGGGAAUCUUAGACAAUGGGGGAAACCCUGAUCUAGCCAUGCCGCGUGAUCGAUGAAGGCCUUAGGGUUGUAAAGAUCUUUCAGGUGGGAAGAUAAUGACUGUACCACCAGAAGAAGCCCCGGCUAACUCCGUGCCAGCAGCCGCCGAA
rnacentral:rRNA from 1 species